AAUUACAGAAAAAUUUUCUGUAAGACCCUUCUUCACUUAGCUCUUGCUUACCUCAUUCGGAAACUCCUUUAAUCUGUGGGUGAGCCCAAAUUUACUUCAAUCAAGCUUUGUGUGCUGCACUCUGAAUUGAUUGUCUUGAUGUUCUUCCUCUGUGUUCACAAGCCCACUACGAAAGCAUUUUGCUUUUGUCAGUUUCUGGGUUUGGCUUAAUCUCAUUUGUUUAAUAUAGAGCCACCACCAAAUGAUCAAGCUACAUGUACAGCUCAAAUACUGAAGCUUAAAGCAUUUCAAAUGGAAGCUGAUGUGAUUCACUCUGCUGGGCGUGAUGUUACCAAGGAAGUAAUCCAAGUGGUGACCUGCAAAGUUGCAAGGCAGGCAGCGUACUUGCUUUCUGUAUUAUUUAUCCCCUUCGAAAUCUUCUAUGGAUAUUAACGGGGAUUGGAGAGGUCAACCCUCAAAGUUUUAAUGACCGACUCCCUAAGACAGCUAUAUACUCUCUUGUAACUGUUAUCUUGGAAUAAGCAUAAAUAUGCCAAGAGGAUGGGCCUAGUGGACAGCUUAUGAAAGGAUUGCAAGCAAACUCCUAUGUGGAGGGACUAGGGAGGUGAGGUCUUUUAAGUUCUGAUAAUUCAAGUCCACAGACAAGAUGAUCCCCGACCCUCAGUACCUCUUAUAGACUAUAAUUCUUCACAGUACCUCCUGCUGUACCGCUCACAUUUAAUCUAAAAGCAUUUACAAUGGCAUUGGGAUUUUCAAGUUGACGGGUGGGAUAUGUGCUUUGGUAAGCUGCAAAGAUCUUAUCAUAACUUGAAGUUUCUUGGUUUGUAAUUGUGGCAUGAACUGGAGUGGAAGUACAUUUUGCAAGUUAAAUUUGAAAUUGCAAGCGACUUAUUUUCAGAAGAUGUAUUCUAGUCUAUUUCUUCAUAUAUAUAUUCCUCUACAUAAACAGCCCUUAUUAUAUUAUAUUUAGAUUCUUAACAUUCAAGUACUCUAUGCAUAGUUAGACAGUGAGGAAAAAAAAAAGAUAUUUAGAGUUACACAUUUAAGAUUUUGCAAUUGCAAAUAUUGGUAGGUUUAACUGUACAUGUUCGAUCAAUCUGUGUCUUGAUAUUGCAUAUAUCCAUGUCAAACUGAAGUCAUUUGCAGUUUUCUAUCGCAAUCCAAUUAAUUUCAGAUGAUGUCAUCAUAAGAUCAUUCAACCAUAGUCCAGCUAGAGAAAUCGAACCAUUUGCAGAACAACAUUUUAUGUCAGAGGAUUAUCUAACAAUGAGAAUGCAUCGUCAAGAAAACUCUGCACCCAUUGUCGGAUUGAUGAUGUUUUACCAAAGCUGGGUACUUUCUUUUCACUUAUCUCAAGUAGAUUCUCAUCAGUUGACCUUUGUAAUCUUUGAGGGGCUUGAUUAUUCACUUGCUAGUUUGGCCACAUUAUUCUUUGGCAUGGGAGACUAUUAUCUUAAUGACUUAAUCUUUUUGGGGUAUGAAAGAGAAGUUAAGAGUGGACGUGACCCCGAGUUCCAUUCCAUGGAAACAUUGGAAAUGACUCUAAGUGGCUUGUAAACAUCGAACUGGUAAAUUUUGACUUGUGUAAAACUUCGAUUAACAGUUAGUUGAAAGCUUCAUAAUAUAUUGCUUUUAACUUUCUUGGUUUGUCUAAUAUACUAAGGUCGUUGCCUAGUAAAGCAGUUGAGUCAUCUCUUCGAGUGGUUGGACUUGAUCAAAUGUAUUUUAGGUAGCUAUGGGAGGUUGUGACCAUGAGCUGUAACGUGAGGAAGUUCCACACCAAAUUGUCUCUUUGGUUGUACCUAGGAUGGUUGUGGUGUAUUUCAGGUGAUUAAUUGGUGGUGGAAUUGAUACUAACAUCAUUCAUCAUGUGGAUUGUGAUAAUUCUUGUGGCUUGCAUCGAAGACUGUUCUGUUAUGCCAUCUAGAAAUCCAAUCAAUUUCAGGUUCUGUCAUGAAAAGUCCAUGAAGAGAAAUUGAACCUUCUGCAAAACAGCACUCUAUGUCAGAGGAUUAUCGAGAAAUGAUAAUGCACCAUCAAGAAAACUCUAGCAGACAUUGAACAUCUGCAAAACAGCACUCUAUGUCAGAGGAUUAUCGAGCAAUGAUAAUGCACCCUCUUACCAAAACUAGAGAAUUUAAGAGUGGGUGUGACCCUGAAUUCCAUUCCAUGGAAACACUCUGGGGAUGAUUCUAAAUGGCAACAUUGAACAGGAAGCUAUGGAAGGUUGUGACCAUGAGCUAUCAUAUGGACAGAAAAAUUGCAGUGCCAGCACUUGCUGUUGAACCAAUUGAGUGCAAAUGCAGUGGUCCUCACGGACACUUGAAAAGUGUUCUUUCGAUGGUCUUCACAGCACCUACAACAAUUUUUGGUUUUCUUUUUUGAACAAUUUGUCCUUAAUUUUCGUUUGCUCGAAAAACUUCAGAAAGGGAAUAUGUUUAGAACUUAACAUUGAAUGACCAUCAUGUUUGCUAUUCAA